GCCUGGGUGGCUCAGUGGUUGAGCACCUGCCUUUGAUCCUGGAGUCCUGGGAUCGAGUCUUGAUCCUGGAGUCCUGGGAUCGAGUCCCACAUCAGGCU
rnacentral:tRNA from 1 species